rnacentral:lncRNA from 1 species
GGUGGUUUGCUGCACCCAUCAACCCAUCAUCUACAUUAGCAAUUUUUAGGACUUUUCCUCCUGUUGGAAAUUUGAUGAGCAUGAAGAAAAAGCUUAAUGGAAGAAACAAAUCCGAGGAGAGAGUUUAUGGAAAAUGGAGAAAGGACAAUGAGAACCGACAAAGAUUGAAUAAGAGAGAGUAAAGAACAAGAUGGUAUGCAUCCUGGGGAAGUAAAAUCAAGCUCUGCUUCUUCACGUUGUUCAAACUAGCAGGGAAACAGAGGGAUGGAAAACAUAAAGCAAGACAAAAGCACACUGUUAAAUAUAAACAAAAAAAGAAAGGAAAGGACAUGUGGCACGUAAGUUGACCUCUAAGUUGCCUCUAGAAUAUUGCGCUCAUGGAAAACAAGUGAGGAGGUAAACUAACACAAUGGAAGUAGUUAUGAGCGAAUAUAAUUUGGAGCCAUAAAGGGCCUUGGCUGGUCCCAAUCAUCACAACUGUUUUCCUAGAAUGGCGUCAGUAGUUCUAACCAAGUCAUUUUGAACCAAAUUCUUAAG